GCAAGUCGAGCGGGGAAAGGUAGCUUGCUACCUAACCUAGCGGCGGACGGGUGAGUAAUGCUUAGGAAUCUGCCUAUUAGUGGGGGACAACAUUCCGAAAGGAAUGCUAAUACCGCAUACGCCCUACGGGGGAAAGCAGGGGAUCUUCGGACCUUGCGCUAAUAGAUGAGCCUAAGUCAGAUUAGCUAGUUGGUGGGGUAAAGGCCUACCAAGGCGACGAUCUGUAGCGGGUCUGAGAGGAUGAUCCGCCACACUGGGACUGAGACACGGCCCAGACUCCUACGGGAGGCAGCAGUGGGGAAUAUUGGACAAUGGGCGAAAGCCUGAUCCAGCCAUGCCGCGUGUGUGAAGAAGGCCUUUUGGUUGUAAAGCACUUUAAGCGAGGAGGAGGCUACUUAGAUUAAUACUCUAGGAUAGUGGACGUUACUCGCAGAAUAAGCACCGGCUAACUCUGUGCCAGCAGCCGCGGUAAUACAGAGGGUGCGAGCGUUAAUCGGAUUUACUGGGCGUAAAGCGUGCGUAGGCGGCUUCUUAAGUCGGAUGUGAAAUCCCUGAGCUUAACUUAGGAAUUGCAUUCGAUACUGGGAAGCUAGAGUAUGGGAGAGGAUGGUAGAAUUCCAGGUGUAGCGGUGAAAUGCGUAGAGAUCUGGAGGAAUACCGAUGGCGAAGGCAGCCAUCUGGCCUAAUACUGACGCUGAGGUACGAAAGCAUGGGGAGCAAACAGGAUUAGAUACCCUGGUAGUCCAUGCCGUAAACGAUGUCUACUAGCCGUUGGGGCCUUUGAGGCUUUAGUGGCGCAGCUAACGCGAUAAGUAGACCGCCUGGGGAGUACGGUCGCAAGACUAAAACUCAAAUGAAUUGACGGGGGCCCGCACAAGCGGUGGAGCAUGUGGUUUAAUUCGAUGCAACGCGAAGAACCUUACCUGGUC
rnacentral:rRNA from 1 species